rnacentral:rRNA from 1 species
GAGCCUACGGGGCGCAGCAGUGGGGGAUAUUGCACAAUGGGGGGAACCCUGAUGCAGCGACGCCGCGUGAGCGAUGGAGUACUUCGGUAUGUAAAGCUCUGUCAGCAGGGAAGAAAAUGACGGUACCUGACCAAGAAGCCCCGGCUAACUACGUGCCAGCAGCCGCGGUAAUACGUAGGGGGCAAGCGUUAUCCGGAUUUACUGGGUGUAAAGGGAGCGUAGGUGGCAGGGCAAGUCAGAUGUGAAAACCCGGGGCUCAACUCCGGGAGUGCAUUUGAAACUGUCAAGCUAGAGUGCAGGAGAGG